rnacentral:rRNA from 1 species
GAUCAUGGCUCAGAUUGAACGCUGGCGGCAUGCCUUACACAUGCAAGUCGAACGGCAGCACGGGAGCAAUCCUGGUGGCGAGUGGCGAACGGGUGAGUAAUAUAUCGGAACGUGCCCAGUCGUGGGGGAUAACUACUCGAAAGAGUGGCUAAUACCGCAUACGAUCUACGGAUGAAAGCGGGGGACCUUAGGGCCUCGCGCGAUUGGAGCGGCCGAUAUCAGAUUAGGUAGUUGGUAGGGUAAAAGCCUACCAAGCCUGCGAUCUGUAGCUGGUCUGAGAGGACGACCAGCCACACUGGAACUGAGACACGGUCCAGACUCCUACGGGAGGCAGCAGUGGGGAAUAUUGGGCAAUGGAGGAAACUCUGACCCAGCGACGCCGCGUGAGGGAUGAAGGCCUUCGGGUUGUAAACCUCUUUCAGUAGGGAAGAAACGAUACCGACGAAUAAUCGGUGUUAAUGACGGUACCUUGAUAAGAAGCACCGGCUAACUACGUG